rnacentral:lncRNA from 1 species
GUAUGGAUAAUGUGAAGGUUUAGAAGAUUGUCAAUAAAAGGAAAUUUGGAUACAGAGUCCUAAUAGACCAGGAUAUGAUAUUUUGUGUGAAAGAGAUACUAUGAACCAUAAGUCCAAUGGUCUAAGAGGUUAUCUGACAAUCAAACGAGUUUAUCACUAAGGAUAUGCUUAUACCAAAUUCUUUAAAAAAAGCUAUGUAUGAUGAGAAUACAUCUCCCGAAGAUGAUGCUUCAAGGGGGAGAAUAUGAUGAUGUCUGUGAUUGUAAUCUUUUUCCUUAUCAUUAGUUUUGUCCCAAUGGGUUUUCCAUGUAAAGGUUUUAACGAGGCAAAAAAGAACACGCAUAUGAUAGAUACUUAAAGAGGAAUGUUAUCACUUAAGUGACGAAAAUCUAUCAAUCUUCCAAUUUAUUUUGAGAUUGAGAGAAGAUGAAGAGAAUGGUCAAGAUCAAUCAUACUUGAAGAAGAAUCAAGAGAUGAACGCAUUCCAUUCGUGUAGCAGAAUCAAAGGUCGAAAGUUUGCCGAUCAAAGGAAACCUUAUAGAUGGAAUUAAAAUAUGAAAUUGGUGUCCAUAGAAAGAUCUUUGAGUCUACUUUCAUCUCGAAUUUGAAUCAAGUCAUUCCAAAUGAUAAAAUUUGAUAUGGCUGUUUUCAUGGGACAUGUACAAGCUUUCUCAAAAUACCUAAUUCCGACUGGUAUCCCAAAUAUCGCUUCUUAUUUCCAUCUUACCAGAGCUAUAGACCGGCGAAUAAAGUUAGAAAUGGAUGUUAGCUUCGAUUUCCAAGUGGUUUGAAGUCAUUUUAUCCUACGAUUAUCAAGAUAUUCAAGUUUCAGUGAGGAUUAUCAAGUCUGCCAAGAGAAGUGGACCGAUCCAAGACCAAGACUAAGAAGAAGUCAGUUCAUUAGAUGGGAUUGUAUUGUCUUGUAUAUCUCAAGUUAUGUUUUCAUCAGGGGUAGUAGAUGCGCGUUGCACUCUUUUUUCCUUAACCAUGAUUUUUCCCACUGGGUUUUUGGUAAGAUUUUUAAUGAGGCAGCAUCUUAUGCGCUUUAGGAAUAUUUAUGUAU